rnacentral:lncRNA from 1 species
UGCGGUUUGGGAUAUUUUUAGACACAAAUUGAGAAGAGGACUCAGUCUGAGAAGCCUGACUGUCUGCUUCGACUGACUGGCGAGAGCAGCGACUUGUAAAAAAAAAAAGCAGCUCGGCAUAAAACCGAGAGGAUGAGGUUUCUGAUGUCAAAUACUCACUGAUAAACCAGGUGGACCGGGUCAAGGGUACAGACUUUCUCAUGGUAGGAGGUUUAAAUGAAGUGAUUUUAGAUUGAAUUUUGUAGAUCACUUAAAAAAAAAAAAAAAACAGGUCAUAUUUUACAGUCAGGAGGGAAAAAAUUUCAGUUAGUCAGUAAAUUAGUCUACCUGAUUUUUGUUACAAUCUCAAAAACUAUAGCAACGAUCGAUCAAUGUACCUACAGAAGAUUUUUACAUCUAUGUAAACAUCAAUAAUUAAGUAAAUUAAAGCUCCUCUGAGUAGAUUUUUGGCUCUUUUUUUAAACACUGAAACUAAAAUUAAUCCCUCUUUGUGCCUUGACACCUGGAGAUUGUCUAAUAUUCCAGAUUAUAAAUCCUCAUCUGUCUAUUUUGAUUCAUUUACAAAAUAAAAAAUAAAACCGGUGUACACACUGACGCUAACUUCUAAGAGUUGACAUUAGAAUCUAAAGAGACGACACUUUACACUCUCAAAACUUUACCGGUGAUUUUAUCUAAUUUUAGUAAAAAUGUUUAAUUAGGCUUAAUUUAAUCCACAUUUACUUUACAAACCUAAAAAAAAUUCUUAUUUUUAAGUGACUAUAUGUCAAAAAUAAGACCUGAAUCACUUUUUAAAGUGUAAACAUGCCAGUGGAAUAAAAAUUACAUAUGUUGAAGAAAUUCUGAAAUAAAACAUGUCCUCAAUUUUAGAAACUUAAUCUCCAUUUUAAGAGACUUUUAAAUUUAAGAGCCUUUUUUACUAUUAAAUGUUUUUUUCUUUUUAAUCAUUGCAAUUUAGUCACAACUUUUAGGGUGUAAUAUCUUGAAAUAAGACCUUUUUUUCUGGACCUGUGUAGGUGAAUGUGGCUUCAAUUAAGACUUUUUAAUUUUAUUUAUUUAUUUUUACUAGAAGUAAAACAUAAACAGAGUGUGUUAAAGUCCAUUUCCCAUCACUUAUAAAAGUAGGUAAUUUGUUUAGUCUGGUUUAUUCCUUGUGAAAAUUAAAUGCUUGAUGGUUUUUCUAUUUUUUAUUUAUUUUUUAUUUUAUUUUAUUUAUUUUUAACAACAAAACAGAGUGACAAAAACAACAACAAGAACAACAACAAAAAAUCAAAUAGAAAAUUAACAAAAAUACUUUUGUGAGGGAGGGGGAAAGAAUAUAUAUAUGAUAGAGAAUUACAAAAUAAAUAAUAUAAUAAUAUUUAAAUGUUAAUAAAAUGGCAUCUCAAAAUAUGUAAAAUACACACUUAAGUGCGUUAACAUUUCCUUUUGAGUUUAGGUAACUUGUAAAUUUUGAAUAUCUCUUCAGCUCGUUAAAAACACGUAACCACAAUCCAGCGAAAGCUUCUUAAACAGAUGUUUAGUUUUUACAUGGGGCUCUAUGGGGGUCGACUCACUUUUAGAUGCAGCCUCUAGUGGACAUUCACGGAAUUACAAAUUUUGGCACUUUUGCUUCUUCAUCAGUUAACUUUACUGUCUUUUUCUAGAGAGUAUGAAACAUCAAAUCUAGUUUCUCUCUUUACUUUUCUUUUUCUAAAUCAAAUUUAGAGUCUGUGUUACGAAAUCUUCGUCUUUAUUUCUCGUCUCUUCAAACUCAGACCGCAGCAGUGGGCAGAAACAUAUUAAAACACCUCUUCUGUUAAAUUCGGACGGUCACUUGUUUUUGUACGUUGGACACAUGUAAUAGAAGAACUGAUAAUACCUUUAAGGGGGUGGAUGACAUGAGGAGGAUAUUAGUGAUGUCCAAACUGAGGCGUCCUUUUUACGAGCCGCGUGAACUUCAUCCCCGGAUAAUAAAACGUGUUUUGUUCGACGUCUCCUCUGAAAAGUUCGCUCUCAUCUGCGAGGCUUUCAGCGAUCAUUGUUUCAGUUUACAGUUUGUGUACAUGCAUCAUCGGUAUAAACUGUUAAAAGCCGCUUUUUCAUCCUUUUGUACGGGACACGUCGAGAGCUUUUCAACAACCUGCUAUGUAAUCUGAAUGCGUUAUUAUUUUAUUCAAGGAACAGCUGAAAAGGAGAGCGAGAGAGAGAGAGAUGAGAGUUUUUAAACAAAGUCCCUCGCUCGGCCGUUGUGUGGGCUGCUCUGCUGAAUAAAAAACCGGCUUUCAUCUCUCUCUUUCUCUCUCUUUUCUCUCUCUCUCUACAUCAACCUCCCCUCCACCAACUCAGUGUCAAGUUCUGCUAUGAGACACACAAUGAUCUGUGAGUGUGUGUGCGGUGGAAUGAGGAGCUGGCUGUCCUUUUGGCAGGCAGCGGUAUACUGAAGCACCUCUCAGAGAAAAAAAAAACGGGACUAUUAUUGAACUGCUGAGAAACGCUCUCAUCUCGCUGUGGAACACAUUGCUUUCGCUCCUUUCUUUCUCACACAUAAAUGCAGUUAAACACGCUCAGGGCUGCUCCACACUUACACAUAUGUCUCUGCAGUAAAGGUCCCGAAGGAGAACCGCCGAGUCAAGCUGUGCCUGAUGGAGUUCCUCAGGGAACGUACUGAGGUCCUCCGAACUUUGAGUGGAUGAUAAAUAAACCCCAAACUCCACUUU